UUGAAUGGCCGCGGUAUUUUGACCGUGCAAAGGUAGCAUAAUCAUUUGUCUUUUAAUUAAGGACUCGUAUGAAUGGUUGGACGAAAUAUUAACUUUCUUUAUUAUAAAUUUUGAAUUUAAUUUUUUAGUUAAAAAGCUAAAAUCUUUUUGGAGGACGAGAAGACCCUAUAGAACUUUACUUAUUCUUUUAAUCACUUAAUUUUUUAUAUUACUUAAGUGAUUAAGGGAGUAAGUUAUGUUGGGGUGACAUGGAAAUAUAUAGAACUUUCUAAUAAAAAUUUCAUUUAUUUAUGUAUAGUUUGAUCCAAAUUUUUUUGAUUAUAAGUUUAAGUUACCUUAGGGAUAACAGCGUAAUUCUCUCGGAGAGUUCAUAUCGAUGAUAGAGUUUGCGACCUCGAUGUUGGAUUAAAAUAAGUGGUAGGAGUAGCAAUUUACUUACUAGGUCUGUUCGACCUUUAAUUUUUUACA
rnacentral:rRNA from 1 species